AGACCCCCAGCUCCCUCAGCCUGUCUCCACAGAAGCCCUCUGAGCAUCCUCGUGGCCCCCUCUGGAGCAUCUCCAACAUCUCCACAUCUUUUUUUUAACGCUCCCAUUAUUGACAGAAGCAUCACAUUCCUGCAGCAGCCUCGCAAACAGCGCAUCACCCUCGGACCCGGCUCCCUCUCGCCGUGCCUGCGGCGCUUUGCCGAGCAAAGCUCCUCCGGAACCCGCGGGUGGGGAAAUCCCCCGGGACGAGCCGGGCGCGGCGCUGCGGGGCGGGGCAGCUCCGUGCCCCUCGAGCCCUUCCCGGCUCCCGGUGCCCUCGGUGGUCGCAGGUUGCCGGCUGCCCGUGCCCACAGCGGAGCCCCGGCCGCGGGGCGGAGAGGGGCGGGGAGGGGGCGGCCCGGGCCGGGAUCCGGAGCCGGCGGCGGAGGAACGGGAGCAGUGCGGAGCGGAGCGGAGGCAGCUCCGUGUCCCGCAGCCCCCAUGGAGAAAUGCAGAGCUCUCGAGCAGCUGCUCAAUGAACUGGAAGAUUUUCUGAGGAUCCUGGACAAGGAGAACUUGAGCAGCACCGCUCUUGUGAAGAAGAGCUUCCUCUCCGACCUGCUGCGGGUGUACACCAAGACCAGCGGUACGGGCAGGGAAAGCUGAAGAUGGGGUGGUGGGCUCACGUGGGAACCCCUAUGGGGUCCUGAAGCACCGUUUUCUUGGAGGUUGGCAGGGAAGGGAGACGAGAAAAUUAAAAGGAGAAAAUGAAACAUUAUUUUUUCAGUGACCUCUAAUUGUUUAUGUAAAAUUACUCUGGUUAUAUGUCCAGCUUUACAAGCAAAGGAUUCCCAAGAUUCCUGAUCCUUUCUGUUUUCCUUAUUAAACCUUAAGUUUAUUUAAUCCACUUUGUAAGAUACACAGGAUGUACUGUUUGGCUGAGUUAGUGUUUAAGUAGAAAUUUUAACUUAUGGAAUUUCCUGGCUAUACAGCAUUUAUUUUUUCUGCUUUUUAUUAUUGGUUUUCUUUUUUUUUUUUUUUUUCUGCACAUUGCCUCAACAAACAUGCUGUCCCCCACGUGCACUCAGCAAAGCCACUUCUUACAUCCGUCUU
rnacentral:lncRNA from 1 species